GGACUACUGGGGUAUCUAAUCCCGUUCGCUCCCCAUGCUGUCGUGUCUGAGCGUCAGGUGCGAGCCAGGGCGCCGCCUUCGCCUCUGGGGUUCCUCCGGAUCUCUACGCAUUUCACCACUACACCCGGAAUUCCACGCCCCUCUCUCGCCCUCUUAGUCACUCAGUCUGGCAUAACCUAGCGCGGUUGAGCCGCGCCCUUUCAUACACCACUUGAGUGACCGCCUGCACACGCUUUACGCCCAGUAAAUCCGGAUAACGCUUGCCACCUACGUUUUACCGCGGCUGCUGGCAC
rnacentral:rRNA from 1 species